UUAACUUUUUAAAAUAUUCCCAUCAAGGCCAUGUGCUUAGGUGUCCAUGAUAAUGCCAAUUUGAACUAUUUUCAAGUGUUUUUUUUUGUUUUUUUUUAUUGAGAAUUUCACCUUUUUUAAACAAGAUUUUAACAAGUUUUUACGGUUACACCACAAUGACAUUUUUGCAAUCAUCCUCCAAAUAUUCUCCCAAAAUGAAUUAAAACAGACUUGGUCCUCAAAAAAGAGAAUGUAUGCAAGUAAUUUGCUAAUUUAUUUUGAAAUGUUAACCCUUUUAAAUUUAAUUAAACCAUAUGGACACACACACAAAAAAAUUGCGUCACGUCAUUGACCCAUAUACAGAUAAAAAGAGGAUGAAUUCUUGUUUUCUUGGUGGCACAGUAAGUAAAGCAGCCUAAUGGCUUUUUAAGAGUAAUGAUUCACGCAGUUCUGAGAGUCAUAACUGAUCUGGGAUGCGUUUCCCAGAGCCAACUAUAGUCGAAAGUUCCGUCGUUACCAACACAACCGAACUUGCAACCAUAGUUGGCUAACAAUGCUUUUGGGAAACGCACCCCGAUUAGAUUCGGCAAGUUCAUUCAUUGAACGAUUUGUCAGACUGGUUCGUGAGUCAUUUUGAGCGGUUCGAUACAAGAACCGACUCAUAAGAUUAAUCUGUUUGUGAAACGGAAACGGUCCACCACAAGAGGAGUGUGUUUGUUAUUGCGUGCAGAGCGUGAGGAGCGGUUAAAGUGUUUGCGGUGUCUCCAUUCACAUCUUCUAUUGAAGUUUGCUUCACCAAAUGCAUUCAUCCUGAACAACCUGCAACGUCAUCAAAUACAGACGCAAAUAGUGUCGCGCCAGUUCAGUAGGUAAAAAGCAGCAUGUGAAGUACACAGAAGACCUUCCAGUGAAAUUCUGAAGUGCACAUCAAACGGACACUUUACUAUCCCAUAAGGCAGCGGGAGAGGGUGAAUGGCAGUGAAGCAAUAUAACAGAUGCUGACCUGUAUGACGUUCUAUCUUCCACGGAACGUAAAAGACGAUAUUGGGAAAAAUGUGCUUAUACAAUGAAAGCCAACUAGCACAUGAAAGUGAAAGUGACCAACUAUUGUAACCCAUACUCUGAAUUUGUCCUCUUAACCCAUCAAAGUGGUGAGUAGUGAACCCACACACACUGCAAAACUUGGACACACACACUCAGAGCAGUGGGCAGCCAUUUUUGCUGUGACGCUGGGGGAGCAAUUGGGGGUUAGGUGCCUUGCUCAAGGGCCUCAGUCAUUGCCGGUAUUGAGAAAUGAAACCGCAAACUUUGAGUUAUCAGUCUGGCUCUCCAGCCAUUAGGCCAUGACUGCCCCAAUAAUGAACAACAUGCACAUAAUACUGAGCUCAUUUUCUAAAAGUUACUAGCACUUUGCUGUGUUUAAGCUACAGACAAGUGUUAAGUAUUGAAACUGAAUUGAAUACGGAAGGCGGUCUGGCGGAAGCUAGAUAUUUUACUUAAUAACUUGUUAAAUAUGGAUAUUUUUUUACGCAUCGCUUUGAUUCAGAAGGACUAAAUUAACCUCCCGGAGCCAUGUGGAGUACACGUUUAUGAUGGAUGAAUGUGAAUGGAAGAACUUUCUUCAGCUCAUGCUCAUGACCCCUGUUUACUGCCAUUAUAGAGCUUGGAUGCAUCAGGAUAUUUAUUAAAAUAUCUUCGAUUGUGCUCAUCAGAAAGAAGAAAGACAUAUUCACCUAGGAUGGC